AGCAGCCGCGGUAAUUCCAGCUCCAAUAGCGUAUAUUAAAGUUGUUGCAGUUAAAAGCUCGUAGUUGAAUUUCGGGGUCAGUAGGCUGGUCGUGCCACAGGUACGCACUGGUCUCACUGAUUCCUCCUUCCUGAUGAACCGUAAUGCCAUUAAUUUGGUGUUGCGGGGAGACUGGACUGUUACUUUGAAAAAAUUAGAGUGUUAAAGCAGGCUAACGCUUGAAUACAUUAGCAUGGAAUAAUGAAAUAGGACGUUCGAUCCUAUUUUGUUGGUUUCUAGGAUUGACGUAAUGAUUAAUAGGGAUAGGUUGGGGGCAUUAGUAUUCAAUUGUCAGAGGUGAAAUUCUUGGAUUUAUUGAAGACUAACUACUGCGAAAAGCAUUUGCCAAGGAUGUUUUCAUUAAUCAAGAACGAAAAGUUAGGGGAUCGAAAGACGAUCAGAUACCGUCGUAGUCUUAACCAUAAAACUAUGCCGACUAGGGAUCGG
rnacentral:rRNA from 1 species